AUCACUGCCACCCAGCUCUGACAGGAGCCAUUUCCAGGAAGGGCAGGGGCAACUCACCUUCCCCUUGGGGAGAGGAAGAGAGGUGGGGACACCAUGGACGUGAAGGACAGGCCUCUCAGCAGAGUCUGCCUCUCUCUCUCUCCCUCCCUCCUGCCUCCAGUCCUUUUCCAAAUUAGAGACAGAAACUUGGGUUGGGAUUUGAACUGAGAACCCCAAAGCUUGAAGUUAGGCUGGGCUGAACUACAUAUUGAGGCCUCCUCAGGUGUGACUGGUGAGGCACUAUGAUGCCUCUGGAUUGGCCAGGCCUUCUACAACCAUCCGCAACGUGGGCUCCAGCCUUUGCCAAGGGAUCUGUGCAUUCUAAGAGGAUAUCUGCAUUACAUAAUAACAUAGUAAAACAAUAGCAAAUAUUAAAAAACCCCAAACUCGUGUUUAAAUACUAUAAAUAUAACACAAUCACUUGCAGCAACCAUUAGCAAAAAUAACCAGAGAGCUUGACAGUUUUACCUUAGUCUAAGAAACACCCCUCACCUGGGUCCCUCUCCUGCAGCAGCUUUAAUAUUUACCCUUUGCUCCAAAGAGCUCACCAUUUUAGACUCAAAAAACCCUGUGAAACAGGUCAGGCUGAAAGAUGAUGGUUGGGUGGUGAUUGUUUUACAGUGCCUGAGCCUGAGAAGAGGGAGCUCAAUGGGCUGAAGUGUCCAAGUUGCCUCUACUUAGGAGGAGAUCGGUGCACCUACAUGAAAAACACCAUCAGCUGCAGAAAUGACGAGGACCACUGCUUCUACUUUGGGGGUAGCGGCACUUACG